CCCUAUUAUUUUAGAAUGUUAAUUUUUGUGCCUGAGUAGUAUUAGUUAUGUUCUUGAAACUUAAAGAAUUUGGCGGUAUCUCAUUCCGUCCAGAGGAAUCUGUCCCGUUAUCGAUAGUCCGCGUUGGACCUUACUUAUUUGAUUAUGGUUUGUAUACCGCCGUUUAUUGAUUAUCUUUUUAGAGGUUAUUUUAAUUUUCUGGUUUCUUUAUUUUGAUAUAUUUCAGGUCAAGGUGCAGCUUGUUUUUAAGUGGAAUGAUGGAUUACAUUGUUAUUUGUUUAUGGAUUGUUGGUUUUAAUAUUGACAUGAAAUUGGAUUUGGUUGUAAUGAUUUGUAGAUUGUUAUUAUGAUAAUUGGUUCUGAGAUAUGCACACAUCGCCCGUCGCUCUCGUUUGUUUAUUAUAAUGAGAUAAGUC
rnacentral:rRNA from 1 species